rnacentral:misc_RNA from 1 species
CAACCCUCAAGCUCUGCUUGGUGUUGGGGCCCUACAGCCGAUGUAGGCCCUCAAAGGUAGUGGCGGACCCUCCCGGAGCCUCCUUUGCGUAGUAACUUUACGUCUCGCACUGGGAUCCGGAGGGACUCUUGCCGUAAAACCCCCCAAUUUUCCAAAG